rnacentral:rRNA from 1 species
UCAUUACCGAGUGAGGGCCCUCUGGGUCCAACCUCCCACCCGUGUUUAACGAACCUUGUUGCUUCGGCGGGCCCGCCUCACGGCCGCCGGGGGGCAUCCGCCCCCGGGCCCGCGCCCGCCGAAGACACCUGUGAACACUGUCUGAAGUUGCAGUCUGAGAAACUAGCUAAAUUAGUUAAAACUUUCAACAACGGAUCUCUUGGUUCCGGCAUCGAUGAAGAACGCAGCGAAAUGCGAUAAAUAAUGUGAAUUGCAGAAUUCAGUGAAUCAUCGAGUCUUUGAACGCACAUUGCGCCCUCUGGUAUUCCGGAGGGCAUGCCUGUCCGAGCGUCAUUGCUGCCCUCAAGCACGGCUUGUGUGUUGGGCCCCCGUCCCCCCGCCAGGGGGGACGGGCCCGAAAGGCAGCGGCGGCACCGCGUCCGGUCCUCGAGCGUAUGGGGCUCUGUCACCCGCUCUUGUAGGCCCGGCCGGCGCCAGCCGACCCCCCUCAAUCUAUUUUUUCAGGUUGACCUCGGAUCAGGUAGGGAUACCCGCUGAACUUAAGCAUAUCAAUAAGCGGAGGAAAAGAAACCAACCGGGAUUGCCCUAGUAACGGCGAGUGAAGCGGCAAGAGCUCAAAUUUGAAAGCUGGCCCCCUCGGGGUCCGCAUUGUAAUUUGCAGAGGAUGCUUCGGGAGCGGUCCCCAUCUAAGUGCCCUGGAACGGGCCGUCAUAGAGGGUGAGAAUCCCGU